AAUUCAAAAAAGUUGAAAAUACAAAAAGAGUACAAAACAUUAGGAACACCUUCCUAAUAUUGCCCUCAGAACAGCCUCAAUUCUUCAGGGCACGACGGACUCUACAAGGUGUCGAAGGCGUUCCACAGGGAUGCUGGCCCAUGUUGACUCUACAAGGUGUCGAAGGCGUUCCACAGGGAUGCUGGCCCAUGUUGACUCUACAAGGUGUCGAAGGCAUUCCACAGGGAUGCUGGCCCAUGUUGACUCUACAAGGUGUCGAAGGCGUUCCACAGGGAUGCUGGCCCAUGUUGACUCCAAUGAUUCCCACAGUUGUGUCCAGUUGGCUGGAUGUCCUUUGGGUGGUGGACCAGUCUUGAUACACGGGAAACUGAUGAGCGUGAAAAACCCAGAAGCGUUGCAGUUCUUGACACAAACUGGUGCGCCUGGCACCUACUACCAUACCCCUGUUCAAAGGCACUUCAAUAUUUUAUCAUCCUCAGAAUGGCACACACACACAAUCCUCUCCUUCAUCUACACUGAUUGAAGUAGAUUUAACAAGUGACAUCAAUAAGGGAUCAUAGCUCUCACCUGGAUUCACCUGGUCAGUCUGUCAUAGAAAGAGCAGGUGUUCCUAAUGUUUUGUCCAAGCAGUGUGAUUGGUUGUAAAAGCAUCAUUUGGUAUCCCUUUCAGCUUGCAGGUAUUAUGUUUUAUUACUUGUUAUAAAGCAUGUAUAUAUAUAUAUAUAUAUCUUUAUAAUGUCUUAUUAUAAGGUUUAUAAUAUGCUAUGUUUCUGUGUAAAAUGUACAACCCCACCUUUAAAAUGGCUCUAAAGGACUGUUAUUUGGUCACAAUGAGAUGAUACGGAGAGAACGCUGUAUUAAGUCUUAUAAUUCAUUAUACCUGCAGGCUUUAAGUCAAGGGUUAUUCCCCAGUUUACAUCAUUUGUAAUAUUAAAUAUGGUAAUUACUGUUAUUAAAGGGACCAACAUGUUUAUGAAACCAACUACAAAAACACACUGCCUACUGACUGACAGCUUACGGAGAUGUCGAUGUGCUUCCUGACAGAACACAGCUGGACCAAUGGCUGCCAAUGGAACUCACUGAGCACAAUGGGAGGAAACUAUGGUGUCCAACAUGGACCAAACAACAGGGUCAUGUUCAUUAGGCAGCAAAACGGAAGUAAACGGACUGAAACAAGGGAGGGACUUCUUGAAAUUAAUCCAAUAAGUAACAAGUUUUUAAAACAUUUUGAAACGUUUUCCGUUCCACCUCCUAAUGAAUACGACCCAGCAGUAAUCCUUUAUAACAAUCAUUAACCCAAACAAACAGGAAACCAUUGUGGUCCGUUUUUUGUGAAACUCGAACAGUGUUUGGUUUGAACAGUGUACAUUCUGUGUGUCUAGUUAUUUGCAGGGUGUUCGUUCCCUUCAGUGAUCGUUUCAACUGGUUUGUUAUUUAGAGAUUUCUGUGUAUUUUUUCCUGAAAAGUUCUGAAACAGUUCAGAGUCAGAGUGUACAUUUAAAUAGUGAAAAAAAAUAAACAUUUUAAAACACAUACGA